rnacentral:rRNA from 1 species
GAUGAACGCUAGCGGCAGGCUUAACACAUGCAAGUCGAGGGGUAUAGUAGCAAUACUAGAGACCGGCGCACGGGUGCGUAACGCGUAUGCAACCUACCUUUAACAGGUGAAUAGCCCCGAGAAAUCGGGAUUAAUACACCGUAACAUUGCGAGAUGGCAUCAUUUUGCAAUUAAAGAUUUAUCGGUUAAAGAUGGGCAUGCGUGACAUUAGCUAGUUGGUGAGGUAACGGCUCACCAAGGCAACGAUGUCUAGGGGUCCUGAGAGGGUUAUCCCCCACACUGGUACUGAGACACGGACCAGACUCCUACGGGUGGCAG